rnacentral:rRNA from 1 species
UACAGAGGGUGCAAGCGUUGUUCGGAAUUAUUGGGCGUAAAGCGCGUGUAGGCGGCUUUGCAAGUCGGGUGUGAAAGCCCUCGGCUCAACUGAGGAAGUGCACCCGAAACUGGCGAGCUUGAGUACGAAAGAGGAUCGCGGAAUUCCCGGUGUAGAGGUGAAAUUCGUAGAUAUCGGGAGGAACACCGGUGGCGAAGGCGGCGAUCUGGGUCGAUACUGACGCUGAGGUGCGAGAGCGUGGGGAGCGAACCGG